AGGUGAUUCCAGUUUUUCCUGUUUAGGAAUAUGACAACUUCUUUGUCAUUCUAAUCAGCCCAGGAUGAAUCGCGAUGUGAGAAGCUGUAAUUAGAUACAUAAAGUAGUGGAGAAUCACCAUAAAGUUGAAUAAAUCUCAUAGGAGUUAGGAUGAAGAAGUUAUCUCAAUUUCAAAUCAGGUGAUUCCAGUUUUCCUGUUUGGGAAUAUGACAACUUCUUUGUCAUUCUAAUUAGACCAGCAAGAAUCGCGAUGUGAGAAGCUGUAUUUAUAUAGAUAAAGUAGUGGAGAAUCACAAUGAAGUUGAAUAAAUCUCAUAGGAGUUAGGAUGAAGAAGUUAUCCCACUUUCACAUCAGGUGAUCCCAGUUUUCCUGUUUGGGAAUAUGAUAACUUCUUUGUCAUUCUAAUCAAACUAGGAUGAAUCGCGAUGUAAGAAGCUUGAUUUGGAUACAUAAAGUAUGGAGAAUCACCAUAAAGUUGAAUAAAUCUCAUAGGAGUUAGGAUGAAGAAGUUAUCUCAAUUUCAAAUCAGGUGAUCCCAGUUUUCAUGUUUGGGAAUAUAACAGUUUCUUCGUCACUCUAAUCAGACCAGUAUGAAUCGCGAUGUGGGAAGCCUGACUUGGAUACAAAAAGUAGUGGAGAAUCACCAGGAAGUUGAUUAAUCUCAUACGAGUUAGGAUGAAAAAGUUAUCCCACUUUCAAAUCAGGUGAUC